rnacentral:lncRNA from 1 species
UUCCACCACCUUUUCCAUACCCACCACCGAGUCCACCACCCUUCCCGAACCCACCAAAGCCACCCCCGAUUCCACCACCUUUUCCGUAUCCACCUCCAAACCCGCUGCCGAAGCCGCCACCCUUGCCGAACCCGCCGCCAAAACCCGCCGCCCUUGCCGAACCCCCCACCAAAGCCGCCGCCCUUGCCGAACCCGCCACCAAAGCCACCGCCCUUGCCGAACCCGCCGCCAAAGCCGCCGCCCUUGCCGAACCCGCCACCAAAGCCGCCGCCUUUUCCAAACCAGAACUUCUCGUCCCCGACCUUUUCUCCCGUCUCGGACUCCUUCACAGGCGCUACAUUCCUACCCACCGCGACCCCCACCACAGCAGUCAGACACAGCAAUGCCAGAAGCAAUUCCCUCUGACCCAUGGCUACUCUCAUCCUUCCACUCACUCACUCUCUCUCUUUCUCUCUCUCUCUCCUCCUGAUUUUUUCCUCACUUCCCAAGGCGAGAUGAUCGAACUGGAAAAUGCUUGUGGGGUUUAUAUAAAUAAUCGAAUGAUUCAGGGAACGACGUUGAGGUCGAGCUGGAUGGUGUCAAAAUGGGCGCAUAGAGAGACGAGACGCGUUUAAUGCUCCCCAACUGCCUCUCUGCCGUUUCAAGCCCUUUGUAGUUGGGGAUGUGCGUUGAAUUUAAUGACCUCACUUUCGGCUGCUUCAUGAUGAGAAGACAAGGACGUAUCUGUAGUCCGCUCCCGAUCAAACCCAUGGUUUGAGCACGCCAUGGAUUAGCCUCUCUCUCUCUCUCUCUACCUCCUUCUCUGCGAAUAAAUCCAUGAUUUCUCUCUCUGUAUGUACGUAUAUAUCUGCUUACUCCGUAAGCCAUUAAUACGAUCUAUGUUACACGAGGCGCUAUGCACAUGCUUCCUACCCCUCAACCGCUGGUUCUAGCUGGCUGGCACGAGAAAGCUGGGAUAAAUGCAUCACCCUUCUGGCGUUCAGGUUGGGUUUUCUCAGCGGGGCAGGGCAUAUCUGCUUGAGGACACUUCGGCGUCAUCUCCGUAAGCGGAAGGUGAGUCCAACAGAGGACUUCGGCGUCAACUUCCUUGAUGUGCUCCACCCACCUCUGCCUCUGCGUUGGCAGAUGAACAGGCUCGCCGUUCAGUUCAACAGUUUAGUUGGGACCUCAUAGUUCUAUUCUCGGCUGACAUGGUGAUCUUCCCAGGUCUUAGAACCCACAAGCUGGUCAGUUGUGGACGGGAGGAAGCCCCAUUCAAGGAGUGAGAAAGAGAACCUAGAAAUAGCAGAGGUGUCCUUCAGCUCCCUCCUCACUCCUCUUUUUGUUUGACUUUGGUGAAUGAGGAAUCUUGCUGCCAUUCUCGUCCCUGGACUGCUCGUCAGGACCUGAGGCUGUAAUUCCUCUUUCGAGUCAACGUAGUGAUCUCCCUCUCUCUCCCUCUCCCUCUCCAUCUUUCCGCCGGCGUAGUAUCUAUGAUGUACUUCACCUAAACUUUUUAUCGUUCUCAACGAUGGAUAUCAUCAAUGAGUUCCAAUAAGCUUAGCUCGCGCAUGGCAUCGCUGAUAAGGAAGCCUUCGGUCAUGGGACAUUUGGACCACGUUAACGAGGUCUGACUGUAUUCGCCUCUUAAAUGCCUAAAAGACCGUGGACGGGGGAAUUUAAGACGUCCAAAUGGAGAUUUUCCCAUUACUGAUCAGAGAGAUCACAUCAUUUAUUCUUCCGUCUCGAUAAAACCAGCGCAUUGCUUACUUUCGUCUAGACCACUUCUUUAUGCAUCAAUUAGACUACCAUCUACAUAUAGCUCCAGCCUUAAAGGCUGAAUAUCUUCUUCUUUUAACAUCGUUACACUUCCGUCUCCAUAACACCGGCCUUCGCGACGUACUCUCUCCUUUUCCUCCUUUUGUGACGCAGACCAGCAGCCCUCGCGUGGGAGAAGACGUCUCUCAACAUCAUGAGAGAGAUGGGGGCUCUUGAUCGCUCCCAGAGUGCUGUUCCCAGUUAUUGGAACUGACUGUUGCUUGACGCGUUCGAGUUAAUGCGUGCCAUGUGAGAUGAGAGGUUGGUGACCGACCAUCGAUACCCCACCGCCUCUCACUUCCAUCCUCCCGUUCAGUAGCAUACGACCAUGUUCAGCUUGUUUUGUGCGGAGAUGGAUUCCAAGUGCCAACUAAGGGAAUAAAUUCUCACAUGGUCAGAGGCAAAUGAGCCGUGUAAGCUGGUGUCCGACCCGGAGACCCCGUCGUCUGCAAACUUCUAGAGGGCUCUCGUCUCUCUCUCUCUCUCUCUCUCUCUCUCUCUCAGGAUAGGGUCUUGUCCAGUCUAACGUGUAGACACCUUCCACAUGGCACACAAUCGUCCGUUGAUAAUGCCCAACAGUUCGCAGUUAUAUAGACUGAUAUUAUCGAGUAAUGGCAUGGGGUAUCAGCCGAUCCGACUCGAUCGAUAACUCUUGGGGACGAUCUACAUGCCACUCUGCUCCUCCCUCGAAAUGUUCGAUUAUCCCACACGCAUGUGUAGACCUGCAAAACAAGAUUUGGUAGGAACCCUAACUCUCAUCCCUUCUCGAUUCAGCAAGGGCUUCAGGAUUGCUGUUCUUCGUUCUACUGGUUCUGGUUCAUUGCUUCUCAGAUUAGUGGAGUAUGCGGAUCAUUUCAUUUUUUGAAGCACAGCACGCGGCCAUGGUUCAUAUCCUGCACAUAAAACUUCUCUUUUGUUUUCGAGCAGAAGUCAGACCUUUUAGAAUAGUCGGCUGUGGAACUGUUUUAAAGGGCCAGAAGCUUAGCUUCUGGGCUCUACUGUGUGGUAUCAAGCCCAUUAUAGGCCUAGGUGAACUGCCCACAAAGGAGAUUAUGGGUCUUGAUCCACUCAAAUCCAUGCUCAGGCUCCUCUCUCUCUCUCUCNNNN